CUGCAGACUAGUUGUGCCUUCUGGUUGCCUGCUCAAGUACUCAACUUUAAGUUUGUACCUCCUGCUUACAGAAUAGUGUAUAACGGAGCAUGUGGAUUUAUCUGGGCAAAUAUACUCUGUUUGUUGAAAAGACAGGGAGAAGGGAAAUCAGAUUAAAAUAUCUUUAUCUACAGCUGCAGAGAGCAGAGCAGUGCAGCCUGCCCAGUUUAUUGUAUGCUAAUGCUAAACUAUAUAAUGUAAACAGUUCUCAAUUUAAAUACAAUUCACACAUGUUUCUAAGUGAAUACAUUAAAUCAUUGAAGGAUGUGAGAUAAAACAAAUAAAAAAUAUAGUUUUAAAGAUUUAA